GACAGAGGGUGCAAACGUUGCUCGGAAUUACUGGGCGUAAAGCGCGUGUAGGUGGUCACGCAAGUCAGGUGUGAAAGCCCAGGGCUCAACCCUGGAAGUGCACAUGAUACUACGUGGCUGGAGUACUGAAGAGGAGAGCGGAAUUCCCGGUGUAGAGGUGAAAUUCGUAGAUAUUCGCAAGAACACCAGUGGCGAAGGCGGCUCACUGGCCCGGUACUGACGCUGAGGUGCGAAAGCGUGGGGAGCAAACAGG
rnacentral:rRNA from 1 species